rnacentral:lncRNA from 1 species
GAGGGGAAAAAAAGGACGAAACACACCAUUGUUGUCCUAAUUAUGAGCUUGAAAAUCCGGGUCUGGAAGCAGCCGGGCGACGCAAAGCGGUGAUGCCACCAAGCCUUUCCCGAUGGCUCUGCGGCGGUAUUCUGCUGCCGCGCCGCAGUGGAGGUGACGGAAUCAGCUGUCGGCAGCAGAACGACAGGCCACCACUGCACCGUGGACAAAUUUCACUUCACAGAACAAGCCACACCGGACACCCGUUACACCGGGUAGGAUCGCUAUCCAUGCCAAUGGGACCUGGGGAGGGAACGUGGGACGUACCAGCUUAGGUUCACAAAACACUUCCCAACAGUUUUCUCUAAUGGCUCCCUACUCAAACAAUCAGCAGAAUGCUCCGACGAAGAUGAUUGAUCUGCGCCAGGCAGCUCGAUGCCGCCCUGUGAAUCAUUAUAUCAGCACAGAUGGAGCGACGGGCCGAGACAGUAACCAGCUAAGGUAACCAAUCGUUCAUUUAUUUGUUUUUUAUGCAUAUGGUUUUUUAUUUAAUUUUUUUACAUCUUCCGACCAC